rnacentral:rRNA from 1 species
UACGAAGGGGGCUAGCGUUGCUCGGAAUUACUGGGCGUAAAGGGCGCGUAGGCGGACAGUUUAGUCAGGGGUGAAAUCCCAGAGCUCAACUCUGGAACUGCCUUUGAUACUGGGUGUCUUGAGUAUGGAAGAGGUGAGUGGAAUUCCGAGUGUAGAGGUGAAAUUCGUAGAUAUUCGGAGGAACACCAGUGGCGAAGGCGGCUCACUGGUCCAUUACUGACGCUGAGGUGCGAAAGCGUGGGGAGCAAACAGG